UUUAUACAACGAAGAGUUUGAUCCUGGCUCAGGAUGAACGCUAGCGGCAGGCCUAACACAUGCAAGUCGAACGGUAACAGGAAGAGCUUGCUCUUCGCUGACGAGUGGCGCACGGGUGCGUAACGCGUAUACAAUCUGCCUCUAACUAAGGGAUAGCCCAGAGAAAUUUGGAUUAAUACCUUAUA
rnacentral:rRNA from 1 species